AACGAACGCUGGCGGCGUGCUUAACACAUGCAAGUCGAACGGCAAGGCCCUGCUUUUUUGGUGUGCUCGAGUGGCAAACGCGUGAGUAUCACGAGAGUAACCUGCCCUUCACUUUGGUAUAACUUCAGGAAACUGGACCUACUCCCGUAUAGCAUCUCCUGCUCCAUUGUGGGGGUUGGAUAUUUUCGGCGGUUGGGGUUGGACUCGGGGCUUAUGAGUUUGUUGGUUGGGUAGUGGCUUACCAAGGGUUUGACGGGUAGGCGGCCUGAGAGGGGGGACGGGGACAUGGGGACUGAGAGAGGGACCAGACGCCAACGGGAGGCAACAGUGGGGAAUAUUGCACAGUGGGCGGGAGCCGGAGGCAGAGACGCCGCGGGCGGGAUGACGGCCUUCGGGUUGAGAACCGCAGUAGCUUGUGACGAAGCGUGAGUGACGGUAAUGGGUAAAGAAGCACCGGCUAACUACGUG
rnacentral:rRNA from 1 species